UUAAUGAAAGAAGUGCAUAAUUUGUACAAUAAAAGCUGCAAAAUAGUAUUGAAAGAAAUUAGAAAUCUAAGUAAAUAACUAGAUAACCCAUCUUUGUGGCUCACAAUGAAAAACUUCAACGCACACUGAAAUAUAUUUUAUUUUGCCUCAUAGUAUGUGCCAAGUAUAAGUAACUUAAAUAGAAGUUUGCUUAAUGAAUGUUUACCCACCACUAAGUAUAACACCUUCUGAUACACAUGUGUUUAUUCUGUUUUAUUUAAUUUUUGUGAAUUCUGGUUGUGACUCAAUAAACUGAUUUUUAUGAGCCACUAAAGGGCCUCCAAAAGUGGGUCUCUUAGUCCAUUUGCUGUCAGAAAGUACGGGUUCAACUUUUGUUUUAGGAAAAAAAAUUUUUGGAAAAAUUAUCGAAAACAAAUGUAUACAUGUUUAUUAACGUCUUUGUGGGAAAUCAUCUGCUGGUAUAGUGUAUGCUAGACAAGUGAAUCAAAUAAUCUAGGCCUAAAGAUAAAUAAUAGGGAAAUGUCUCUGAACAGAGAUAGGGUGCUAUGGGGCUACUCGCUUAUUGAGAUGGAGGAGAAAUCAAAUGGAGGGUGAAAAUGGAGGGCGAAGGAGGGUGAAAAAGAAGCACGCUGAGAGGAGACUUAAGGAGUAAUUCCAAGGAAAGCUGUAUGCCAAAGUUGGGGUAACCUCAUUACCUUCCUCGUGCUGCUGGAGUUGGCACUCUGGUUUUGUAAUGCAGUGUCCUGUCACAAUGAAUUAGACUGAAGUUUGCUUUGGAGGGAUGCUGACCCAAUCAUAUUUUGUCUUGCUGACAUCUUGGGCAGAGCUAAUAAAUACCUCCCUUUUUUAUGACUCAGCUCAACCAAAGAAAUAAUACCGCAAUAAUAACAUCAUCAUUUUACAAUGGAAGUCUAACUGGAGUAUGAACAAAAAGUGCUGUUGACCAAGGGCCUCUAGCCACUGCGUAUUCUUAUUUGAAAAUCUGACCCAAUUAUCUGACAGCCAAAGAGAAAUAUCUUCCAUUUUGUCAUUAUUUGUUCACAGUUAUGCCAUCUGGCUCAUUUAACCAGGAGAAAACUUGGCAGCCACAUUCAACCAGAAUGACUAUCAGUUAUCAAAACAUCUUAUUUUCUCUUUGCCAAGAACAAAGUGACAACUGAUUUCAAAGUGUCAGCAGGCAACUCUGUUCCACCUGGUCAUCCAGAGAUUUGCCUCCUUCCAUCUUGGGUUCCUGCCGUGCUCUCUUGCUUGGCGGAAUCUUCUUCCUCAAGCUGCAAAAGAAGUAGAAGAGUGAAGAAAGCAAUGCAUGCUUCUUAGAAUGCCCAGACCAGAGGUGACACCCAUCACUUCCACUUACAUGCCACCAGCAGGAAAGAAAGAAACAAACACAUUACAGAGAGAUGCUGCCGUCCUCUCUUCCACAGAAGUCUUACUUGAGGCUCUUGGACCCACCUUACCUGCAAGGAAGGGAGAGAGAACAUUGAGGGAGGCAGCAUUGAGCGGUGGCCUCCCAUAGGCACCAGGAUCGGGGCACCCAGGGAAUGAACCCACAACCCAGCUAUGUUACCUUCACCGGGAAUCCAGCAGGCAACUUCCAGUUACGGGACGACUCUCUGAACCGCUGAGCCGCACUGGCUAGGGCAAAAGCAGGUCAUGAAGAGGUGUUUGCAUACCUAUGAUAUUAGCAGCAUUGUUCGUAAUAGCCAAGUAUAGAAGCAACCCAGAUGUCCCUUAAUGGAUGAAUGGCCAAGAAAAAUGUGGUAAAUACAUACAAUGGGAUAUUAUUCAGUCUUGAAGGGAAGGAAAUACUGUCACAUGCCACAACACUGAUAAAUCUUGAGGACAUUAUGCUAGGUGAGAUAAGCCAGUCACAAGAGGACAGACACACUGCGUGAUUCCACCUAUGCGGUAUCUAAACUUGUCAAACUCACAGAAACAAGAAACACAGUAAAAUGGAGGAUGGGGGAAAUGGGGAAUGGUUUCGUGGAUAUAGAGUUUUGGUUUUGCAAGAUGAGAAAGUUCCAAAUAACUGUUUCCCAACAGUGGGCAUAUAGUUACCACUAAUGUACUAUACCUUAAAAAUGGUCAAGAUGGUGAAAUUUCAUGUUAUUUUUUUUUUAAUUUUUUUUUUUUACCACAACAAAAAAAGAAUUGAAGGCAGUGGGCAUUUAAAGCUGGGAGGGACGUGGCCACACCUGCAUUUUUAUUUGUUUGUUUGUUUAUUUAUUUAUUUAUUUAUUUUAUUUUUUAUUUUUCACAUGUAGGGUGUUUGUUCAUAGGAAGGGCACGAGUUCUGUGCCCCUCGACACAACGACCCCAAACUCUGGUUGGGUGUGUCGUGCACCGAGGAGCUGUCUCUGCAGUCCCCCUGCUCCGAGCACGCCCGCACACCUGCAUUGUAGACAGCAGCCUCCGCGUUUCACGGACUGGUGGACUGGCGCUGGGACAGACUGGAGCUGUCCAGAGCAGCUGGAGGGCCUGCGAGCGUCUGACCUGGGUUGGUGUGGGUGUGACAGGAAGGAGAUGAACCAGCACCGAGGAGUGCAGGCGCGGCUCUUUAUUCCCGAGGUGUGUAACUGUGGACACUGUCCCCCUGGACAACUCUUGUCAUUUUCCAGUUUGGCCUGUGGUUAAUAUUGCCCAGAGAGGUCAUUUGAUUCAAUGGGACUCCCAGACAGGAAUUCACAUUGACUGCUUGUGACUGUGACUCUGUAGGACUCUGGGGGUUCUCUGCCCCUCCUCUUCUCCCUCCCACUCGUUUAUUUAUUUAUUUUUUUCUUCUUUUUUUAACAGUAGCACUGAUUCCCUUGAAUACUGUCAUUCAUAUUCAAAUUCUUCUAAAGCCAAUUAGAGAAAGUCCUGACUCAGGGAAUAUCUCUAGAAAUUCAGUAACUUUCUAUUUAUCUUUCUUUUAUCUCCAUUCCAUGGAAUUUCCCAGCAAUGAUAUCAUUCUCCAGCAAUGCAUCCUGGGCGAAACCUUUUUGAAUCUCCACAUUUGAGAGAAACUGUUGUAGUGAAUGCUUUCUUUUGUAUAAAUGCCAUUAACAUGUGACUUCUGGACAGUGUGUCAUAAGUGGGUGAAAAGGACAAGGCUACUCUGAAAUUCAGGGUUCUUCUAUGAAGGAGUGCCGAGAAGUCACUCUCUUGGGACAUGUGCCUCCCUAGACCCCACCAUGACCCAGUGUAACAUGGCGCAUGUUUCCCUGAACCACUCCAUGGAGGCAGAGAACAAUGCACCCCAGAUCCUGAAGGAGAGAGUUGCUGCAAGACGAUGGGGACUCUGAAACCCACGAGAGCACCUUCCAGAGGGGAUGAAGACCCGUUUGCACGGCCGGCUUAAGCACAGAUAAGGACAUGGGGAACUUCUGGGCAUGGUUCUGGCUUGUAGUCGGGAGGGGAGCAAGGGAGGUGAGUAAGAUGUUUCCUUACUAUCGGUCACUUAAAAAAGAAACAAAAAAGGAAAUAUAGUCUGUUUUUCAGAAGGACUUGGGAAUGAUACCAAAAGUUGAAAUUUGAUGGCACACACACAAAAGGAAUUUCCAUGAAGAAAUCAGAGAUCGUGGUAUGAAAGGUCUUUUGAGAGCCACCAGCAAGAGUCCUCCAGCCCUGCCUCGGUGGAGCUGCUGGCCUGGGUACAGAGGAAGGAGCAGCAUCAGGAGCUCCUCAGCACGACUGCAGAACUGGUAUGGAGUGAGGCAGGAGUCAACACUCGGACAAGACAACAAUGCAAGAGAUGUUGCAAAGCAGUAUGGGAUCAAAGGUGCGGCUGGAAGUGGUCCCUCCUCUGAAUUUCCAGAGCACUGUCUCUGUGUCUGUAGGGCCCCUUCCUCUUUCUUUGCGAUGUUGCUGGAGUUCUCUCUUUUCCCACUGCUAGAGCGUGAACAACUCCAGGGCAAGCUAAGCUCCAGGUCUGACACAUCUUUGGUCUCCCACACAUGGGCUUGCCUAGGAUUGCUGCAAGCAAACAUUUGUUGUUUGAAGAAAAUGAGGGACCCAAAGAAUAAGUUUGGGUGUAAAGAGGAUGGAGGAGGGGGGGUUUGUGUGAAGAUUCUCACAUGGGACAAAAAUAGAUUUAAUCAAUAAAUGUCUGAAGCAGACAUUGUUUUUGACCUCUGUAGCUUCCAUGUAUCCUUCCUGUGGGAGAAUGCCUCGAUUUUCUUUUGGGUUGCUGCUGCUCCCUGUUGUGUGUCCUUGGUGAACUGUGGUCGGGGUGGCCUGACCCCCGUGGCCAGCCAGUCACGCUUCCAUAGAGACGGGACUCAGGCAGAACAAGGACAGAAGGGGCCAGUGAUUGUCCCACUGACAGGUUGUCCACCAAACCACACCAGUCAGGGCAUAUAUUUCCUUGACUUUAUUUAAAAUGCAAUGAAUUUUAUUGCAUUUGUUAAGUACAUGCUUUUUCUUCAUGUUGGGUGUCCUUCAAUGUCUUCUGUGUACUCAUGUAUAAACAUUUUAGUGUUUUCUUAUCUUUUUGUGGGUUCUUUGUAUAAAGUGAUAGUAAUCUGCUAUUAUAUUUGUUGGAAACAUCUUUCUAGUGGUUUGGGCUUUUACAAAUAUUCAUUCCUAUAUUGGAAACAUAAAGAAACAUUAAGAGAAUGAUAUAUGAAACACUUUGAAUCUAUAUCCAGCUUUUUCAGAUAACAUUUUGCCAUAAUUUCAAAAAAUUUUUAAGAAAAAAUGACAAAUUACAAAAAUAUAUAUAAUCUUCAUGAUACUGAUUUUUUUUUUGGAAAUUUGUUGAGACUUAUUUUGUGACCUUUGUGUGGUCAUUUUUUUUUAUAGUUGUUUCAUAUGUUUGUGAAAAGGAGAAUCAUUCUCUUUGCCAUUUGCAGGGUUCUCUGUAUCCCUACUAAAUUAAAGUUUUAUUUUAUAAAUAUUCUAUAUCUUUCCUAAGUUUUUUGUCUUCUUGGUCUAAUGGUUUCUGGUAACUGUGUUAAAAACCUCCAACCACAACUGUGGAUUUGUAUUUCUUUGUCGUUCUGUUUUUGCUUCAUAUAUAUUUGUUGCUUUAUAUGUCAUGUAACUUUAUAUAUUUUGUAACAGUGUUGUUGUAUACA